UAUACACUCCCUCCGUUCUAAAAUUUUUGUCUUAAAUUUGUUUAAAUACAGAUGUAUCAAAUCAUGUUUUAGUAUUAGAUACAUCUUUAUCUAGACAAAUCUAAGACAAGAAUUUUGGAACGGAGGAAGUAGAUG
rnacentral:pre_miRNA from 1 species